GAGUUUGAUCGUGGCUCAGGAUGAACGCUGGCGGCGUGCCUAACACAUGACAAGUCGAACGGAGUUCUUAAGGAAUGCGGCUUCGGCCAAAUGACUUUUGAACUUAGUGGCGGACGGGUGAGUAACGCGUGAGCAACCUGCCUUUCAGAGGGGAUAACCAUUUGGAAACAGAUGCUAAUACCGCAUAAGAUUACAGUACCGCAUGAUACAGUGAUCAAAGGAG
rnacentral:rRNA from 1 species